rnacentral:tRNA from 1 species
GUGGGUGUAGCUCAGCUGGUUAGAGCAACGGGUUGUGGUCCCGUAGGUCGUGGGUUCGAAUCCCAUCACUCACCCCA